rnacentral:ncRNA from 1 species
ACCAAUGUAGGUAAGGGAAGUCGGCAAAACGGAUCCGUAACCUUGGGAUAAGGAUUGGCUCUGAGGACUGAGCCGGUCGGGCUGGGGACCUGAAGCAGGAACGGCACUGCACCGGGACUGGGCGGGGCUCGCCGUUGACGCGGCGCGGCCAAGCCCGGACCAGCGUCGGGACCUUGCUGUGGAAAGCCUCAGCUGCGCGGCGUCUGAGGGCUUCGUGCCCAAAGUGCUAUGCUUCGGCCGGCAAAAAACAGUCAACUCAGAACUGGCACGGACCGGGGGAAUCCGACUGUCUAAUUAAAACAAAGCAUUGCGAUGGCCGCUGGUCGGUGUUGACGCAAUGUGAUUUCUGCCCAGUGCUCUGAAUGUCAACGUGAAGAGAUUCAUCAAAGCGCGGGUAAACGGCGGGAGUAACUAUGACUCUCUUGUGUGGCAUCCUGGAUUGCGGAGAAGAUGAGAAAUGAUGGCUGCACGGUGUCCGAGGAGCCCAGAAUUAAAGUAAAAGACGAAAUCAGGUACCCAGAUUUAAUUU